CCAGCAGCCGCGGUAAUACGUAGGGUCCGAGCGUUGUCCGGAAUUAUUGGGCGUAAAGAGCUCGUAGGCGGUCUGUCGCGUCUGCCGUGAAAUCCUCAGGCUCAACCUGAGGCGUGCGGUGGGUACGGGCAGGCUAGAGUGCGGUAGGGGAGAAUGGAACUCCUGGUGUAGCGGUGGAAUGCGCAGAUAUCAGGAAGAACACCGAUGGCGAAGGCAGUUCUCUGGGCCGUAACUGACGCUGAGGAGCGAAAGCGUGGGGAGCGAACAGGAUUAGAUACCCUGGUAGUCCACGCCGUAAACGUUGGGCGCUAGAUGUGGGGACCAUUCCACGGUUUCCGUGUCGUAGCUAACGCAUUAAGCGCCCCGCCUGGGGAGUACGGCCGCAAGGCUAAAACUCAAAGGAAUUGACGGGGGCCCGCACAAGCGGCGGAGCAUGCGGAUUAAUUCGAUGCAACGCGAAGAACCUUACCAAGGCUUGACAUAUACCGGUAACGGCCAGAGAUGGUCGCCCCCUUGUGGUCGGUAUACAGGUGGUGCAUGGUUGUCGUCAGCUCGUGUCGUGAGAUGUUGGGUUAAGUCCCGCAACGAGCGCAACCCUCGUUCUAUGUUGCCAGCGGUUCGGCCGGGGACUCAUAGGAGACUGCCGGGGUCAACUCGGAGGAAGGUGGGGAUGACGUCAAAUCAUCAUGCCCCUUAUGUCUUGGGCUUCACGCAUGCUACAAUGGCCGGUACAAAGGGCUGCGAUGCUGUAAGGCGGAGCGAAUCCCAAAAAGCCGGUCUCAGUUCGGAUUGAGGUCUGCAACUCGACCUCAUGAAGUCGGAGUCGCUAGUAAUCGCAGAUCAGCAACGCUGCGGUGAAUACGUUCCCGGGCCUUGUACACACCGCCCGUCAAGUCAUGAAAGUCGGUAACAC
rnacentral:rRNA from 1 species